rnacentral:rRNA from 1 species
CCUACGGGAGGCAGCAGUGGGGAAUAUUGGACAAUGGGGGCAACCCUGAUCCAGCCAUGCCGCGUGUGUGAAGAAGGCCCUCGGGUUGUAAAGCACUUUCAGUGAGGAAGAACGCCUGGUGGUUAAUACCCAUCAGGAAAGACUUCACUCACAGAAGAAGCACCGGCUAACUCCGUGCCAGCAGCCGCGGUAAUACGGAGGGUGCGAGCGUUAAUCGGAAUUACUGGGCGUAAAGCGCGCGUAGGUGGCUUGAUAAGCCGGUUGUGAAAGCCCCGGGCUCAACCUGGGAACGGCAUCCGGAACUGUCAAGCUAGAGUGCAGGAGAGGAAGGUAGAAUUCCCGGUGUAGCGGUGAAAUGCGUAGAGAUCGGGAGGAAUACCAGUGGCGAAGGCGGCCUUCUGGACUGACACUGACACUGAGGUGCGAAAGCGUGGGUAGCAAACAGGAUUAGAUACCCUAGUAGUC